UGUAUAUAAAAAGCUACAGAAAUAGCUGUCCCAAGGAAAAGGCCAAAGGACUUCUGUGCCCAGGAUAAUAUAUCUCAAAGUCAAGAGGAAAACUGCACCA